rnacentral:rRNA from 1 species
AGUGAACGCUGGCGGUAGGCCUAACACAUGCAAGUCGAACGGCAGCACAGUAAGAGCUUGCUCUUACGGGUGGCGAGUGGCGGACGGGUGAGGAAUACAUCGGAAUCUACUUUUUCGUGGGGGAUAACGUAGGGAAACUUACGCUAAUACAGCAUACGACCUACGGGGGAAAGCAGGGGAUCUUCGGACCUUGCGCGAUUGAAUGAGCCGAUGUCGGAUUAGCUAGUUGGCGGGGUAAAGGCCCACCAAGGCGACGAUCCGUAGCUGGUCUGAGAGGAUGGUCGGCCACACUGGAACUGGGACACGGUCCAGACUCCUACGGGAGGCAGCAGUGGGGAAUAUUGGACAAUGGGCGCAAGCCUGAUCCAGCCAUACCGCGUGGGUGAAGAAGGCCUUCGGGUUGUAAAGCCCUUUUGUUGGGAAAGAAAAGCAGCAGGUUAAUACCCCGCUGUUCUGACGGUACCCAAAGAAUAAGCACCGGCUAACUUCGUG